ACUCAAAGGAAUAGACGGGGGCCCGCACAAGCAGCGGAGCGUGUGGUUUAAUUCGAUGCUACACGAAGAACCUUACCAGGGUUUGACAUGCAGAUGGUAGGGAUCCGAAAGGUGACCGACCCUUCGGGGAGUCUGCACAGGUGCUGCAUGGCUGUCGUCAGCUCGUGUCGUGAGAUGUUCGGUUAAGUCCGCUAACGAGCGCAACCCUCGCCGUGUGUUACAUGUGUCACACGGGACCGCCGGUCUUAAGCCGGAGGAAGGUGGGGAUGACGUCAAGUCAGCAUGGCCUUUAUAUCCUGGGCUACACACACGCUACAAUGGUCAGUACAAUAGGUUGCUAAGCCGCGAGGCGGAGCCAAUCCAUAAAGCUGGCCUCAGUUCGGAUCGUAGGCUGCAACUCGCCUGCGUGAAGACGGAGUUGCUAGUAACCGCAGGUCAGCUAUACUGCGGUGAAUACGUUCCCGGGCCUUGUACACACCGCCCGU
rnacentral:rRNA from 1 species